rnacentral:tRNA from 11 species
GCCGCCUUAGCUCAGUUGGUUAGAGCGCUGGUUUGUGGAACCAGAGGUCCCCCGUUCAAGCCGGGGAGGCGGUACCA